rnacentral:rRNA from 1 species
GAAGAAGCUUGCUUCUUUGCUGACGAGUGGCGGACGGGUGAGUAAUGUCUGGGAAACUGCCUGAUGGAGGGGGAUAACUACUGGAAACGGUAGCUAAUACCGCAUAACGUCGCAAGACCAAAGAGGGGGACCUUCGGGCCUCUUGCCAUCGGAUGUGCCCAGAUGGGAUUAGCUAGUAGGUGGGGUAACGGCUCACCUAGGCGACGAUCCCUAGCUGGUCUGAGAGGAUGACCAGCCACACUGGAACUGAGACACGGUCCAGACUCCUACGGGAGGCAGCAGUGGGGAAUAUUGCACAAUGGGCGCAAGCCUGAUGCAGCCAUGCCGCGUGUAUGAAGAAGGCCUUCGGGUUGUAAAGUACUUUCAGCGGGGAGGAAGGGAGUAAAGUUAAUACCUUUGCUCAUUGACGUUACCCGCAGAAGAAGCACCGGCUAACUCCGUGCCAGCAGCCGCGGUAAUACGGAGGGUGCAAGCGUUAAUCGGAAUUACUGGGCGUAAAGCGCACGCAGGCGGUUUGUUAAGUCAGAUGUGAAAUCCCCGGGCUCAACCUGGGAACUGCAUCUGAUACUGGCAAGCUUGAGUCUCGUAGAGGGGGGUAGGAUUCCAGGUGUAGCGGUGAAAUGCGUAGAGAUCUGGAGGAAUAC